UGACUAAGGAAGACUCUUGUUUCCAUUUU
rnacentral:piRNA from 1 species